rnacentral:rRNA from 1 species
GAUGAACGCUGGCGGCGUGCCUAACACAUGCAAGUCGAGCGAAGCGAUUUAGCGGAAGUUUUCGGAUGGAAGUUAAAUUGACUGAGCGGCGACGGGUGAGUAACGCGUGGGUAACCUGCCUCAUACAGGGGGAUAACAGUUAGAAAUGACUGCUAAUACCGCAUAAGCGCACAGCAUCGCAUGAUGCAGUGCGAAAAACUCCGGUAGUAUGAGAUGGACCCGCGUCUGAUUAGCUAGUUGGUGAGGUAACGGCUCACCAAGGCGACGAUCAGUAGCCGACCUGAGAGGGUGAUCGGCCACAUUGGGACUGAGAUACGGCCCAG